GAGUGAGCAAACAGCAAGAACCCUCAAUUGCAGAAAGAAAAGUUGUUAAGGUGGCCAAAUGAACCUUAAGAGAACUUACUGAAAUUUUCUUUAAUCGCAACAAGCAGAAGCUACAUGGAUUUAGGAACAAUUUUCCAGAGUGCACAUCAGUUACUAAAUCCCCACUUUUGAAGGAGUGUAGCUGCCCAAUGAACAUAAUGAGGCCCUGGAAGCUGCAACAAUUUGUCUGUAUCCUCCAUGAACAACUUCAGUCAUCAAACAGGAAAUCCUUUACCAUAUUCAGGACUUCUCUGGGGAAACCAGACAACUGUAGCCAAGAUGCCCUGUGCAUCACCACUGUCGUGGAAAUGGAGUAGGCUACAGUAUCUGCAUCAUCCAGAGCUGCCUGGAAGGAUGUCCUCGUCCCUUAUCAAUGGUAGUUUGACAUUAUUUCCUUUGGUCUGGAGGAAGGUGUUGAAUGAAAACUGAAUUUUGCAUAAUUUGUGAAGUUAUAUUUAGCCAUCAGUUCCUGUAAUUCAUGAUGCAGAAUUUUAUGGUUGUAGAUUAAUAAGAUUUCCUUCCUAAAAAGUCCAGGCACUUCUGGGCUGUCAUACAAGGGGGAGUCAGCUUAUACCAUUUGUUCACUGGUGUCUACUAGAGAGUUGGGCAGAGGGUGGGAAAAUAGAAACUCAGAGUCCUUGGUGGGAACAUAAUACUUUAUCGGCUCUCUCAAACACAGGUGUUACUGUGGCCAGUGUUUGCCAAAUGGUUUUUGCAGGUUCCAGCAGAGCCUCACCCGAUAGGAAGGGCAACCCUGGAUGGUGUUACGGAGUGAACAAUAUCCAACAGCUUCUGUCGUGAUUCUUUGAUCUCCUUGAGAGGUAUCUGUAGGGAGUCUUCCAUAUGUUUAAUGAGGUCUUGAAAUCGCUGACCAUCAUUGGCCAAAGGAGGACGCAUCAUUACCACCUCUUUGGGUGAUGAGGAUAAGAUGGUAGUCUGAGGGGUUGCUUCUUCAUAUGCCCUUGCCUCCAGAUCCUCAAACCUUUCCUCUUGUUGAGUGAUGUGAUGGGAGAUCAGAAGCUUGAGUCUCCCCCAACAUCCCAGUGGGAGACAGUUGAGGCGUUGGAGAACUGUUGACAGUAAGCUAUCCAGGGGUCCCAAUAUGGCCACUGAGCACCAUAUCUGGUGGGGCAGGCAACCAGGGUUGUUUCCACCAAGAAUGAUGAGUUUCCUAGAAAUCCUCUCUGUCUCUUUGAGAAAGAGGUUCCUAUGUGGGUACACAGGAGAAUCUUGGACAGAGAUUAGUGAUACUGAAGGGAGAUCUCCAUCACUCUUCAUCCUCUAAUUGGGGAACUCCAACUGAAGAAGGAGGUGAAUCAAAGAGGUAUAUGGGUCCAUGACAGAGUGAUUCUCGGUACUGAUGGAGACUCUGGUUCCAUAAGUCCUUUGGGUACUUAAAGUCUUGCAAUACUGAGCAGAAUCGUGGUAACCAUUUUUGUACCAAAGGCAUGGUAUGCUCAUCCCUGCAGGAUGGUACUGAGAGUUUCACAUGCUUUGCAGAAGGCGCUGAUGUAGAUGAAACUUAGUCAUACAUGGUACUGAAGAACCCAACAGGGGUACUGGAAGAAGGGUUAAGUCCAGUGGUACUGAUCUUAGGUAUUUGUUCUGGCCAUUUCUGCUAAGCGGUACCGGGUUCUUCUCAGAGACGUGCUUACCCUCAGAGGUACAUGAUUUUCCCCCUUGUCUUUAUCGGAGAAGAUAUUUGCCUCUAUAGUAAUGACUCUCAAGGUUGAAGAAGCUGUUCACCUGCUCAGAGAAUGAGGUCAUUCUGAGGUACACUCCUUAAUAGGAGAGUUAAAGAACCUCUUUUGGGGACCUUUAGAGAAGGUCUCUGAAGCUUUCCCUUUUCUGGGGGGAGUACUGCACUGAGCUUGAAGGGGUGCUAGAUACCCCCAGAUAUUGAUUUACUGAGGGGAGGAGAGGAUGUUCUGACCUGGGUCUGAAGUGAGACAAAAUGACUGCUCUACCAUUAACAGCCACAGCUUGAUUUCCUGGACUUUUAGAGGCCUGGAUUUGAGGGCUAAACAGAAGUGCAAUGUGCAGCUUCCCUAGGCAGCAAAUGCACUUAAAGUGUCUAUUGUUGACCAGAAUGACCUCUAACCAAGGCAGUGUUUAAACCUCGGUGAACUGGGCAUAACCCUUUCAGGGACAAGCUCCCUGGAGGAAACAAAACAAAUCUGUUAAAUAACCAGUUGAACUCACUACAAACUAACAAACUCACUAACUAAAAGUAAAAUAAAUUAAGCUAGACCAAAGUAAGCAAGUAACUGAGACACGCCCAAUGCAGAUACACUAAGUUCUGUCUCCGUCUGAGGCAGCUGAGAAGGAACUGAGGGCUAUUUGCCUGCAAGCCUGAUAUAGCCUUGGUCUGGAGCAUGAGGAUCUUAACAGUGAAUGAACAAGCUGAAUGAACACUGCUAAUGAAAAAUCUCCAAACAAAGGCUCAUGGGGCACAUGCAUACCUGGCCACUGACCAAAAGAAGAAUCUAAAUUAGUUUAAGAUAUUACCAAAAUUCCAACACUCUCCCCAAUUUGACAUACUGUUGCUAUGACAAACUCUGACCUCGGGAUAUAGUAUACUGCCUUAGAUUCUGCUCAAUUAAAGCAAUUUAAAACAUAGCUUCAAGUAAAUAUUAUUUCCCUUGCAAGUGUUGCAUCACAAGAAUUUUUUUUUUUAAAUUAACUGGGCCCACAAACAACACGGAAGUGCCUCAGCUGAUUGCUCCCCAACCAGUCACUAAAUGAUAGCCCAGUUUUCCUCUAUCUUCACUGAGGAAAUGGCUUAAAGCAUGGCCGGACUUUUCUUUUUAUGAAAACUGAAAAGCAGCAAAACGAGGAAGUGUCAGGGUGAGCAAAUGCCCUUUUAGGAAAAAAAACAAAAAAAAAAAACAGCUACAAGUAUGUUAAUUUUUAACAUUUAAGGAUCGCUAACUGACCCUCUCCUUUUCACAGGCCGAUGUGCUGUCCCUGGCUGUCUGUACAUCAGUAGGAGUGAAGCCAGUCACAGGAGCUAUUGCUGGGAAAGCAGCUCG